GGAUGUGUGCUUUACAAAAGUGUCAAGAAUCAGUACCAAGACCUGCGUCUGAGCAUGAGGAGGCCAUUCAUCCCAGAGUUGGCACCAAUCGACCGCCCCCGGUUUUAACCGGCGGUUUUUACCGGUUAUAAAAACCGCCCCGGUCAAUACUGCUAAAGUGGUAAUUACUGGUCAAUAUUGGUCGAUUUAUCUUUACCCCCAAUUUUGAUUAAUAUUCCAUGCCUAAUUAAACAAUAUUUAUAGUAUAAAUUAAGCAGACAUGUUGCCAAUAAUGUCUUUAGCUAUUAAGACCCACUAUUUUAUACCUGUUCAUGCAAUUUGUAGGCCAAUCUCUCAAAAUUUUGCAAAUUAGUCAAAGUUGGUCAAUUGGAUUUUUCUGUUUGAUUGAACUUUUUUUCAAUUCUAAUGAAUUAUGAAUGCUCAGAUAAGCAUGUGCUUGAUUCAACAAGAACCUGUUAAUUACUGUGUAUGAGUAUCAAAUAGAUAUAUCAAUAGAUAAGUGAAAUACUAUGGUAACUACAAUAGUAAUAAUACUUAUGUAUUUGAGGCUGUUUUCAUAAACAAUAAAGAAGUAAGUGUUUGCAGCUUUAAAGAUUUCUUUACAAUAAAUAACUCAAAAAAGUUUAUUAAUUAAAGAAUAAUUAUUGAGUUAAUAUAAAAUAGCUUCUUUGUGAUGUUUAAAUGCUUCAAUUUUCAAUCGACCAGUAUUGACCAGUAAUUGCCAGUAAUGACCAGUAUUGACCGGUUUUAACUGGGUAUUGACCGCCGGCCCGGUCAAUACUUAAUUGACCGGUCAAUAUGCCAACCCUGAUUCAUCCAGACUCAGUCAGCAAAAAACCUGGCAACUGUAAACAGUACACUGACCUCACAUCCUUCCACAAUCAGAAAGGAAAACCUAAGAAAACUGAUGUGUUUGAUUCAGAGCAACUUACGAAAUAUCUUCAACAGAUGAACAUUCAGAUUUAAAACAACGAUUAUAUGCCUGUAGACAUGACCGAUCCAUUACAGAAGCCUUCAAGGACAUGUCUCCUCUGCCAACAUAAUGAAAAACUAGAUUAUAAGAACACUCAGCUGCUGAGUCAGUUCAUCUCCCCGUACACUGGUCGCAUGUAUGGUCGUCAUGUCACAGGACUCUGUCUACACAUGCAGAGAUGAGUGGCCAGGGAAGUUCGCAUAGCUAAAUUGAUGGGUUACUUGCCCUUCAUGACCAAGUCUGUACAAUACUUGGAAGACCCGAUGCUGUUCAAUCCAUUCUCUAGAAAGACAUGAACACUUGUAUUGAAUUUCAUGUUAUAAUAUAUUAUUUCUAAAACGGACAGAAGAGCUAAGAUAUCCCUUAUUAUAAUAACUAUGUUAGGAGUAUGCAAGAUCUUUUGUUUUUCACCAGAGGUGAAAGGUCUUGCCACUGGUACUGGACAUAGAAUAAAACAAUUCAUUUAUUUUGAAACUUAUUAAGCUAACAAUUGAUCAAAAAAUGUAAGGGUUAUGCAAAAAAAACAUAUUAUACAUGCGUAACCAUUUUAAGAGUGGUUGGAUAUGCUGGAAGCACACUAAAUGUUUAUCUGCCCAACAGUUCGUAGACACAAAAUUGUCCUCUAAAGUUCUAUUAAGCUUUUGAAUAUACACUAUUCAAAUUUGCAUGAGUUAUUCAGUAUUGUAUGAAGUUGUGUUUGUGCCUUUUUAUGCCCAGGGUAGGGGACAUGAAGCAGUUGGACCAUCCGUCAAUCUUUCUUUUUGUCCGUCUGUUCGACAUUCCGUUUCUGGAGUUUUCUUUCCUAAACGCAGAUAUUUACCUGGUCUUUGGUAUGUGAGUCUACCUACAUGUUCAGAGAGCAAGUUCGUGUUUCCUGCCAGUCCAUUGAAUUUUGACGAAGUUACAGGCCUUGGACCUAAGAAUUUUAUUUAAAAUAACGCUUUUUCAAUUUUUUUUUCCGAAAUGCGUUCAGAUACUGACCUUAUUUUUAUACGCCCGUUUUUAAAAACAGGACGUAUUAUAGUUUCACCCUUGGCGGGCGGCGUGCGGGCGGCCGUGGGCGGCGUCCACAGCAAUGUCCGCUCUCUAAUUCAAAUAGUUUAAAUUCGAUCUUCACCAAACUUGGUCAGAAGUUGUGUCUAGACAAUAUCUAGGUCAAGUUCGAAUAUGGGUCAUGCCGGGUCAAAAACUAGGUCACGGGGUCACUAAGUGCAUUUCAAGGAUUAAGCAUGGUGUCCGCUCUCUAAUUGAAGUAGUUUUCACCGGAUCUUCACCAAAUUUGGUCAGAAGUUGUGUCUAGAUGAUAUGUAGGUCAAGUUCAAAUAUGGGUCAUGCCGGGUCAAAAACUAGGUCACGAGGUUACUUAGUGCAUUUCAAGCAUUUAGCACGGUGUCCGCUCUCUAAUUGAAGUAGUUUUCAUCUGAUCUUCACCUAAUUUGGUCAGAAGUUGUGUCUAGAUGAUAUGUAGGUCAAGUUCGUAUAUGGGUCAUGCCGGGUCAAAAACGAGGUCACGAGGUCACAUAGUGCAUUUCAAGCAUUUAGCAUGGUGUCCGCUCUCUAAUUGAAGUAGUUUUCAUCUGAUCUUCACCAAAUUUAGUCAGAUGUUACAUCUAAAUGAUAUCUUGGUCAAGUUCAAAUAUGGGUCAUGCCGGUUCAAUAACUAGGUCUCGAGGUCAGGUAGUGCAUUUCAAGCAUUGAGCAUGGUGUCCAAAACCUUCGAACGGGCAUAUCUUGUGACAGUUUGGCACUCUUGUUUAUAUGUGAGUCUACCUACAUGACUCUAAGAUCAAGUUCAGUUUCGUUACUCUCCAUUGAUUUUGACGAAGUUGCAGGCCUAGGACUUUGCCAUUUUUAUGCCCCCUUCUUCGAAGAAGAGGGGGUAUAUUGUUUUUGACCUGUCUGUCUGUCUGUCUGUCAUUCCGUCAUUCUGUCAUUCUGUCCCAAAACUUUAACCUUACAUUAACGUUUUGCAAUAACUUUUUAAAUAUUAACAUAGCAACUUGAUAUUUGGCAUGCAUGUGUAUCUCAUGGAGCUGCACAUUUUAAGUUGUGAAAGGUCAAGGUCAUCCUUAAAGGUCAAAGGUAAAAAAAAAGCGGCACAUUCGGGGGCAUUGUGUUUUCUGACAAACACAUCUCUUAUUUCUCUAAAAUAAUACAUCCAGAUUUUUUUCUCCCUCCCUCCCUUCCUCCCUCCCUCAUUGAGUUUAAAUGUCGAUUAGAACAAAAACAUCAUGAAGGAGGGAAAAAAUGUAUAAAAAAAACCCUCAGUAUUUAAAAUUAACUCAAAUGCUAAUGAAAAUUCAAAUAACGAAAGUAGCUAUGUUAGAAACGUGUUAGAACUUACGACCUUUUAUCGCAUGA